GGGUAAGUCCUUGGCUGACAUUCUGUGUGUUACUCCAACAGCUUACCCAGACAAAACUGUUAUGUUGUAUUAUGUAAGAAUAAAUUGCCUGACUAUUACUAAAGGUUUUCCUUUACUGAGUUUUGUCUUACACGAGGUCAAAAAUGGUAUUACUAAAAAUACCAUCAUAUGGUGACCCGCCGACUGUGAUUCAUUUUUUUCCAGUCAAUUUUUUUCAGGCAAUGGAGGGCUCCAGGCUGGCUACUGGAGUGUACCCGAGGGGCGUUGUUCUCGGAUGUCGAUAGUUUACCCGUGGAUAUUUUCUUUUCCAGGACGGUUUCCCCGUAAAGCUUUACUUUAACGGAUGAUGGAUACACGCGCGUAAGUACCCCCCUGGGUGGGGUAUAUAUGUUUUUUCUAACUUCUUCUUUUUGCCUAUUGUUUUGUUAAUUGUUGUGUUAAUCAGCUGAAAUUAUCUGCCAUUCAUGAUAGGAAUCCGCAGUUUCCUUUCUGUUUUUGUAUUUUGUACGUCUCUUAUUCCUUAUCAUGAAGUGUAGUCUAAAACAUCUUGAAAUAGAAAUUACACGUGUACUGUAUGUUGUUUGAUGAAUGCAAAAGGAUCCAUGAAUGUUGAAUGUUUGCCUAGCAGGCCAGAAAUACGGAAAACUAGGUUUUCUGAAGGAAAUUCUGUAGAGUGUGAAGUGUGAAUCACUUUCCUGUCCGUUUGAAUUGUCAGAUGAAAAACGAGAGCCCUACAAACAUUUAGGUGUUGUCUGCAACGUCAAACCUAUUUUCUCCCUUUCCACUCARUUGUAAGCCUGUUCUAAAUUUACAGAKACUAAAGUAUAACAUCAUUUUUUCCUGCAGGUGACUCCAGUUUAUAUGUCUGUUUGUUUGCCCUGUUUGUUUUAUAAACCAAUGUUAAUAGCUCGCUGCUAAGCUUUUUUGCAUCCUACAGGUCUGUUAGAGCAUAUUUUGAAUGUAAUACUUGUGUGUAUGUUAGAAAGAAAAGGACUUGACUUGACUUGACUUGACGGUUAUAUGACUUUGAUGUGUCUGUAAUGAAUAUGUUUACCUUACUGUUUUUGGUUCUCUUUAAUGUUUAUAUGUUUUCAUAGGUACCUCUGGUAAUGUAAUAUUUGUUCUAUGUGUCUGUCACUAMAAUAUUGUCAUUUUGUCUUUAACUAUCAUGUCACUAUUCGUAUCUUAUCCUAACAUUGUCUUCUUUGUUAUUAUUCUCRUAGUAACAUUAGUUCUCUUGUGUAUUUCUGUUUGUGAAUGGGUUACUCGUGAAUAAGGUUAAUUCACUCCACUUGUCUUUCUAGUUUAACAGAAAUAUUAGUGUUGUCUCUUUAAAUGUUCUCUGUUGAAGUUUUUUGUCUCAAACAAACCUUAUUUCUCUUUUUUAUCUUUAUGUGUCAGAUUGAUAACUCUUUUCUAAGUGUAUUAUGUUUUACUUGUGAUCUGAAAAAAAAAAAAACAUGUUCCAUCAGUUUAGAAUAUCUAACAAUCCUCCUAGAUAUGCUAGUUGAGUGCCCAAAACAUUUUAAGUUUCAAAGCCUUUGUUAAGUGUCACAGCUGAGGGGACAAGACUGCGUUUUCCUGGCCAGAAGGCGAUAGUUUUCUUCCCUCACAACUUGACAUUCUACUGUGACAGAUAAAGGAUAUGUGAAAGAGUAAAUAUUUUACUAUACAAAUUGCAUGUCAUUAGAUCUAGCAGGCUUUUGCCAACCAAUAGAAAGUGAUAUUUCUCACAUAUACUUCAGCUGAGACAUUACACCUAUUCUCUGCUCCUUGCUCAGCAAACUUAGAUCCAGUCCUUUAUAUGGAUACUAAGGAGCAAUUAAAUGCCAUUUUGAAUGUGCCUAUUGGCAAUUUUAGAGUGAUACAGGGUUACACAGUCUCAGAACUUUUGGUUCCACAGACGGUGCAGCCCCCAGUAAUAAAGAUUCUUAUUGAGCUAAUGGUUCAGAAUGUUUUAAGCUUAUUAACAGUAGUACUUCCCCUGAAUAUUCUGAAGACAAACGUCCUGACGACCAAAUAAAUCACSGUCAGUUGUUUCACACUGAAGUACUUAAUGGUGCAUUAGACUUACAGCACCCUUUAGAGGAAAUCUAGUUCAUAGUCCAAUUAAUAACAAGAAGGAUUCURUUUGCUGGUACUGUCAUAAAAACUACAUUUCCCAGAAUCCUCCGUUGCACAAUAUUUCAGAUGUAACUUCUCUCACUGUUUUGUAACUUCCUCUUUUGUCAGSYMGCUGGCUCAGGAAMUUUUAACCACAGCAAAUAUUUUUAACUUUACCAUUUCAUACUCAUCUGUAUUUUUUUUUCUGUAUCUCCUGCAUCUGGAUCUUUUUCACCAACAUGAAGGUAAACUUGAUGCAGUUUGGAUCCAUACCCGAUUCACUCAUUGGUACAGGUUAAAUUAUUUUCAUUAUUCUCUAGACAGAUGUGAAUCUAUUAUUUCAUAUUAUUGUACUGCAUUUGCAGUACAACAAGAGGGGAGUAUUAUAUUGUGGGUUMUGUUGUUGUUACUAUUUUUUCUAAUUAAAUAAGUUUCAGUUAAUAAAAAUGCAGCUUAUGUGCUUGUGCCGCUGCUAAAAGAAAAACUUCUCCCGUAAUCUUUGCACUUGUGUAUCUUGCAUCACAAGYCUGCAAGUGUAAGAAAAUGCAGAAGUGACUUAAAUUUAUUGUUGAUUUUGUCUGAUAACCAGUAAUUUCACUACCAAAUUUGUAGAAAUAAAUGAUGCUACUAWAAUGGGUCUAUGUCAUUUUCAUUUAGGCUAAAAAUAUAAAAAUAUAAAUAUAGAUACAAGAGAGAACUUGUUAAAUGUUUUUCCUGGUUAUGAUUAAUCAAUAUUAUUUUGUUAUAAGAAGGAAACAGUACAGGUUGUAUUUGAUAGUUUACACAAUUAMAUUUUCGAUUCUGUUACAAAUUUGCAAAUAUCACUGAUCUUAAGUGGAGUUGUGUCUUUGUACCAUCCCACUUCCAACAACACAAUUACUGGCAGCAUUUGGUUGGAUUUAUUCCCAGCUGUCCUGUCAAUUCUCUGCAACAAUCCUAUCAGGUGUUGUGGACUUUCUCCAUUUGAAUUAAACACAAGAAAACGAACGUCCUUCACUCAUAUCAUAAAUGUACAACCACUUCUCAUUACUGACAGUUCAUACAGUAGUUUCAUUAGAGUUCUUUAGCUAGUACAUUAGACAAGUCAGUAUUACCAGAACACCAGAUAUUGUCACAUUGUCUCUUUGUUUCCAGGUUGGUGAUCUGAGCAAAAUUCCAUCAGUAGCUGUUGAGAUUAUUCCAAUCCAUUCCAAAUAGAACAGCUAUCAUUGAUCACACCACUCAUUGAAAGAAACUCUACAUACAUACAAAGAGCCAUUUCCAAGUUUGCCAUUCAUAUCUGUGAUGCCUUUACAUCUUUUGCMUAUCCUAAUAUCGAAUCCAUGGACUGAUUAUGAACUCYUAAAAAAAAAAACUGUACAGAGACUGCUGCAUUGACUGAAUACAAGUGACUGUUGAAUAUUUCUUCAUAUGCCUAUCCAAAGCCAUGAUGUCUCUCUGAUUGGACUUUCCCCUAUAAUGAACUGAUGGACUGAUAUUGAAAUGGGUUAAUUUUAAGGUUUAGAUUCAUACAGUAUUGAAUGUGAUAUAGUUAAAUUGUGUGCAAUUUAUAAGAACAAUGGGAAUGUGAUAAUGUAACAUUUUCUCUAUAUGUUUAGUUUUAGAUUAGUUAUGAAAACAACAAAGGUAAAAUUGUAUCUGGUUCAAACAGUUUUUAGAAGGGAAGUUUCCUGCAAUUACUUAUUAUUGUAUUAUUGCCCCAGGUCCUCAGCUCUAUAUGUAGCCGGUUGUGUGUAAACAGCACUGACGAAAAAAAAACAACUGAUAAACCCCAUAAUAAUAGAACUCUGUCAUGUGCUAAUAUUAGUAUUGAGUAGAGUCUAGAUUCCAAGACUAGUCCCGCCCAUAAUGUUAAAUCUAUAAAAAAAAUAUAAAUCUUAUCACCGUCAUAAACUAAGCUCUAUAGUUAGUAUAGAUAUGGGUAUAUAGAAUUUGUGUGAAAGUAGGGAGGGGUGUAUGUAUGGAUGCUGGGUUUUCAUUUGGAGGGGUUGAACUUGAUGGACUAKGGUCUAUUUUAAACCCAAUUUAACUAUGUAACUAUAAACAUAGAGGUUGUUCAAAUAAAUAGAGUAGCUGACCAAAAUAGUAUGAUUUUAGAUUAGCAUGUGUUUUGAUAGGAAAAAGAAGGUUGUACUCAUAUUGUUUCUGAAAUGUUUGUUGAAUGUCAUAUAGUCAAAGUUUUAGAGCUGCAACAAUAAGUGUAAUCUUUUUAUAGAACAGUUCAGUUAUUCCAAAUGAUUAGGUAAAAUUUUAUAGCUGGUUAAACAACUCCAUUGGAAGUUUCAUUAAGUCUAUCCAUGUCAUCCUAGCAUUAAUACUUGGUCUAUAUUUCUCUGUUAGAAUUUGUGCUAUAAGCACCUCCCCCCAACUUCUGCUCUCAUUUGAUUUACAUCUAUAAGAUAAARCUUUUCUCAGCCWUAUGGGGGAGGUUUGAAAAAAAAAAAAAAAAAAAAAAAAAAAAAAA
rnacentral:sRNA from 1 species